AUGAACGCUAGCGGCAGGCUUAACACAUGCAAGUCGAGGGGCAGCGAGAUUGAAGCUUGCUUCAAUUGUCGGCGACCGGCGGACGGGUGCGUAACGCGUAUGCAACCUACCCAUAACAGGGGGAUAACACUGAGAAAUUGGUACUAAUACCCCAUAACAUCUCGAGUGGCAUCACUUGGGGUUGAAAGCUUCGGUGGUUAUGGAUGGGCAUGCGUUGUAUUAGCUAGUUGGUGAGGUAACGGCUCACCAAGGCGACGAUACAUAGGGGGACUGAGAGGUUAACCCCCCACAUUGGUACUGAGACACGGACCAAACUCCUACGGGAGGCAGCAGUGAGGAAUAUUGGUCAAUGGACGGAAGUCUGAACCAGCCAUGCCGCGUGCAGGAUGACGGCUCUAUGAGUUGUAAACUGCUUUUGUACGAGGGUAAACCCGAAUACGUGUAUUCGGCUGAAAGUAUCGUACGAAUAAGGAUCGGCUAACUCCGUGCCAGCAGCCGCGGUAAUACGGAGGAUCCAAGCGUUAUCCGGAUUUAUUGGGUUUAAAGGGUGCGUAGGCGGUUAGAUAAGUUAGAGGUGAAAUUCCGGUGCUUAACACCGGCGCUGCCUCUAAUACUGUUUGACUAGAGAGUAGUUGCGGUAGGCGGAAUGUAUGGUGUAGCGGUGAAAUGCUUAGAGAUCAUACAGAACACCGAUUGCGAAGGCAGCUUACCAAGCUAUAUCUGACGUUGAGGCACGAAAGCGUGGGGAGCAAACAGGAUUAGAUACCCUGGUAGUCCACGCAGUAAACGAUGAUAACUCGUUGUCGGCGAUACAAUGUCGGUGACUAAGCGAAAGCGAUAAGUUAUCCACCUGGGGAGUACGUUCGCAAGAAUGAAACUCAAAGGAAUUGACGGGGGCCCGCACAAGCAGUGGAGUAUGUGGUUUAAUUCGAAGCAACGCGAAGAACCUUACCAGGGCUUGACAUAUACAGGAAUAUAUAAGAGAUUAUAUAGCUCUUCGGAGUCUGUAUACAGGUGGUGCAUGGUUGUCGUCAGCUCGUGCCGUGAGGUGUCGGGUUAAGUCCCAUAACGAGCGCAACCCCUACCGUUAGUUGCCAUCAGGUAAAGCUGGGCACUCUAGCGGGACUGCCGGUGUAAGCCGAGAGGAAGGUGGGGAUGACGUCAAAUCAGCACGGCCCUUACGUCCGGGGCUACACACGUGUUACAAUGGUAGGUACAGAGGGCAGCUACCCUGCGAAGGGAUGCGAAUCUCGAAAGCCUAUCUCAGUUCGGAUUGGAGGCUGAAACCCGCCUCCAUGAAGUUGGAUUCGCUAGUAAUCGCGCAUCAGCCAUGGCGCGGUGAAUACGUUCCCGGGCCUUGUACACACCGCCCGUCAAGCCAUGGGAGCUGGGGGUGCCUGAAGUUCGUGACCGCAAGGAGCGACCUAGGGCAAAACCGGUAACUGGGGCU
rnacentral:rRNA from 1 species